UGAAGAUCUGUGUAGUUAUUUGGACUUUUACAAAUUAUCUUUGAAAGACAGGGUCCUGAAAGGGACGUUUGUUUUUUUGCUGAGUUUAGUUAUUCUGGUAAAAAAAAAGAGCUCUGACUAGGAAAUACGUUUUGAACAGUCAUCCAAGUCGGGAGCUCAGGCCUCUUUCUAGAGCUUCUACCUGAAGAUCCCUGACGUCAUUAUGAUUCGACCUUGUUUUUUUCAGAGUUCCCAGUUGACUUGAAGACACCAUAAAUCCAGAGAAUGCCAGACUGAUAAAAGUUUGAUGACAAAAUUUGCCCACAAAAGACCACAGCACCACCUUCUUGUUCAAGUGAGCACAACAAGGAUAAAGUUUGAAAACCAGCUCCAGCAGCAGAUAGAAGCGCAUAAGCACAUUUGUGAAGCCCAGACAGACUGUCUGCUGAAAUAUAGAGGAUAGAAAACACCAAGUCUCAGCUGUUGAAGGCUGGUUUGAACCUCUACACAUGAUGACUGUAGUGUACUGUAGACUUUACAUGGGGCUAGUGCACCAUCAGGUGUGCAACUGUGAUGUAUAUGUGCUUGUUAUGAGUGUGUGCAUGCGUGUGAUUUUAUAGAACAGCUGAAGUUGUCUCAGCUCUGCUAUCUAGAGGAGAUGCUGGAUGAGGCCAAGAGACAGACUCAGACAGAGACAACAGACACACACACAGACUAAACCAUGGAAC
rnacentral:lncRNA from 1 species